GGGUUGUGAGGUUAAGCGACUAAGCGUACACGGUGGAUGCCCUGGCAGUCAGAGGCGAUGAAGGGCGUACUAAUCUGCGAUAAGCGCCGGUAAGGUGAUAUGAACCGUUAUAACCGGCGAUACCCGAAUGGGGAAACCCAGUGUGAUUCGUCACACUAUCAUUAACUGAAUCCAUAGGUUAAUGAGGCGAACCGGGGGAACUGAAACAUCUAAGUACCCCGAGGAAAAGAAAUCAACCGAGAUUCCCCCAGUAGCGGCGAGCGAACGGGGAGGAGCCCAGAGCCUGAAUCAGCAUGUGUGUUAGUGGAAGCGUCUGGAAAGGCGCGCGAUACAGGGUGACAGCCCCGUACACAAAAGCGCAUGUGCUGUGAGCUCGAUGAGUAGGGCGGGACACGUGGUAUCCUGUCUGAAUAUGGGGGGACCAUCCUCCAAGGCUAAAUACUCCUGACUGACCGAUAGUGAACCAGUACCGUGAGGGAAAGGCGAAAAGAACCCCGGCGAGGGGAGUGAAAAAGAACCUGAAACCGUGUACGUACAAGCAGUGGGAGCACCCUUUGGGUGUGACUGCGUACCUUUUGUAUAAUGGGUCAGCGACUUAUAUUCUGUAGCAAGGUUAACCGAAUAGGGGAGCCGGAGGGAAACCGAGUCUUAACCGGGCGUUAAGUUGCAGGGUAUAGACCCGAAACCCGGUGAUCUAGCCAUGGGCAGGUUGAAGGUUGGGUAACACUAACUGGAGGACCGAACCGACUAAUGUUGAAAAAUUAGCGGAUGACCUGUGGCUGGGGGUGAAAGGCCAAUCAAACCGGGAGAUAGCUGGUUCUCCCCGAAAGCUAUUUAGGUAGCGCCUCGUGAAUUCAUCUCCGGGGGUAGAGCACUGUUUCGGCUAGGGGGCCAUCCCGGCUUACCAACCCGAUGCAAACUGCGAAUACCGGAGAAUGUUAUCACGGGAGACACACGGCGGGUGCUAACGUCCGUCGUGAAGAGGGAAACAACCCAGACCGCCAGCUAAGGUCCCAAAGUCAUGGUUAAGUGGGAAACGAUGUGGGAAGGCCCAGACAGCCAGGAUGUUGGCUUAGAAGCAGCCAUCAUUUAAAGAAAGCGUAAUAGCUCACUGGUCGAGUCGGCCUGCGCGGAAGAUGUAACGGGGCUAAACCAUGCACCGAAGCUGCGGCAGCGACACUGUGUGUUGUUGGGUAGGGGAGCGUUCUGUAAGCCUGCGAAGGUGGCCUGUGAGGGUUGCUGGAGGUAUCAGAAGUGCGAAUGCUGACAUAAGUAACGAUAAAGCGGGUGAAAAGCCCGCUCGCCGGAAGACCAAGGGUUCCUGUCCAACGUUAAUCGGGGCAGGGUGAGUCGACCCCUAAGGCGAGGCCGAAAGGCGUAGUCGAUGGGAAACGGGUUAAUAUUCCCGUACUUGGUGUUACUGCGAAGGGGGGACGGAGAAGGCUAUGUUGGCCGGGCGACGGUUGUCCCGGUUUAAGCGUGUAGGUGUGUGUUCCAGGUAAAUCCGGUUCACUUUAACACUGAGGCGUGACGACGAGGCACUACGGUGCUGAAGCAACAAAUGCCCUGCUUCCAGGAAAAGCCUCUAAGCAUCAGGUAACAUCAAAUCGUACCCCAAACCGACACAGGUGGUCAGGUAGAGAAUACCAAGGCGCUUGAGAGAACUCGGGUGAAGGAACUAGGCAAAAUGGUGCCGUAACUUCGGGAGAAGGCACGCUGACACGUAGGUGAAGUGAUUUACUCAUGGAGCUGAAGUCAGUCGAAGAUACCAGCUGGCUGCAACUGUUUAUUAAAAACACAGCACUGUGCAAACACGAAAGUGGACGUAUACGGUGUGACGCCUGCCCGGUGCCGGAAGGUUAAUUGAUGGGGUCAGCGCAAGCGAAGCUCCUGAUCGAAGCCCCGGUAAACGGCGGCCGUAACUAUAACGGUCCUAAGGUAGCGAAAUUCCUUGUCGGGUAAGUUCCGACCUGCACGAAUGGCGUAAUGAUGGCCAGGCUGUCUCCACCCGAGACUCAGUGAAAUUGAACUCGCUGUGAAGAUGCAGUGUACCCGCGGCAAGACGGAAAGACCCCGUGAACCUUUACUAUAGCUUGACACUGAACAUUGAGCCUUGAUGUGUAGGAUAGGUGGGAGGCUUUGAAGUGUGGACGCCAGUCUGCAUGGAGCCGACCUUGAAAUACCACCCUUUAAUGUUUGAUGUUCUAACGUGGACCCGUUACCCGGGUUGCGGACAGUGUCUGGUGGGUAGUUUGACUGGGGCGGUCUCCUCCUAAAGAGUAACGGAGGAGCACGAAGGUUGGCUAAUCCUGGUCGGACAUCAGGAGGUUAGUGCAAUGGCAUAAGCCAGCUUGACUGCGAGCGUGACGGCGCGAGCAGGUGCGAAAGCAGGUCAUAGUGAUCCGGUGGUUCUGAAUGGAAGGGCCAUCGCUCAACGGAUAAAAGGUACUCCGGGGAUAACAGGCUGAUACCGCCCAAGAGUUCAUAUCGACGGCGGUGUUUGGCACCUCGAUGUCGGCUCAUCACAUCCUGGGGCUGAAGUAGGUCCCAAGGGUAUGGCUGUUCGCCAUUUAAAGUGGUACGCGAGCUGGGUUUAGAACGUCGUGAGACAGUUCGGUCCCUAUCUGCCGUGGGCGCUGGAGAACUGAGGGGGGCUGCUCCUAGUACGAGAGGACCGGAGUGGACGCAUCACUGGUGUUCGGGUUGUCAUGCCAAUGGCACUGCCCGGUAGCUAAAUGCGGAAGAGAUAAGUGCUGAAAGCAUCUAAGCACGAAACUUGCCCCGAG
rnacentral:rRNA from 2 species